AUGAUAUACGCAACCCACAUUCCCAAGAGGGAACGGAAGCGUGCACUAAGGGACGUCUAUGCGAUGGAGCCCGUCGCCCCAAAGUUCAACCCAUGGUCCGCUUCUCCAAUCACCUUCGAUCGCAGGGACCACCCCACUAGUAUCCGUCAUGGCGGAUCCGCUGCACUGGUCCUAGACCCCAUCAUCGACGAAUUUCACCUCACUCGAGUCCUUAUGGACGGCGGCAGCAGCCUGAACCUGCUCUAUCAGGAUACAGUGCGCAAAAUGGGUAUAGAUCCCUCGAGGAUCAAACCCACCAAAACCACCUUUAAGGGCGUUAUACCAGGUGUAGAGGCCCAUUGCACGGGCUCAAUCACACUGGAAGUGGUCUUCAGAUCUCUAGACAACUUCCGAAGCGAGGAGUUGAUCUUCGAUAUCGUCCCGUUCCGCAGUGGCUAUCACACACUACUCGGGCGAACCGCAUUUGCAAAAUUCAAUGCGGUACCGCAUUACGCAUACCUCAAGCUCAAGAUGCCAGGACCUAGGGGGGGGGGGUCAUAA
rnacentral:rRNA from 1 species